GUACACACCGCCCGUCACACCAUGAGAGUUGGAAAUACCCGAAGCCUGUGAGCUAACUUAAGGGAGGCAACAGUCGAAGGUAGAGCCAAUGAUUGGGGUGAAGUCGUAACAAGGUAAC
rnacentral:rRNA from 1 species